rnacentral:sRNA from 1 species
CGAGGACAGAAACCUCGCGUGGAGCAAAAGG